GACUCUGUGAUUCUUCCCUCACCUCCCUCCUCCAUUCCCACCCCAUUUUUUGGGUGGUUUUUCUCUCUGAGGGGUGCAGGGAAGCGAGGGGGCACAGCAGCACCCCCUGUGCUCCCCCCCUGCCCAGGCAGCCGCUGCUAAAGAUCAAAGCACGGUAAAAAUAGCAAGAGGGGAGAGCUUGUGGGUUUGACAUCUGGAGGCCAGAAACAGCUCCUGCUUUGGAGGAGGCAAGAACCACGUGGGAAAUGUCUGCGCUUCUUGGCUGGAUAAAAACAGUUGUUCCAUCUGAUGGAGUUGUUAGGAAGUGCUUGGUGUCCCGUGGCAUGUGGAAUGUUGGACUCUUUGUGAUCCUUUCUAAACUUCACCUGUACAGAACAGGAGAAUCCCAGAAAUGUUUGGAAUGGAAAGGAUCUGAAAGCUCCUCUCAUUCCAUGGGCAGGGACACCUUCCACUAGUCCAAUUGUUGGGGCAGAUGGGACGAUAAAGUUUCGUGUGAAACCGGAGCUGCAGCAUUUCUGUGCCCGGAUGGAGCUUUCAGUCAGGGUGAUGUAAACACCGCUGCAGAAUUUGGGAGGCUGUUCUGUUUGGGGGAUGUGAUGGAUUAAAGCUGACAAAUGAGAUUUUUUUUUUUUUUUUUGGCCUUUUGGGUUGUGCCAGUUUCAUGUGAGGCAAAGCUCUGGC